UACGUAGGGGGCAAGCGUUGUCCGGAAUCAUUGGGCGUAAAGCGCGUGUAGGCGGCCCGGUAAGUCCGCUGUGAAAGUCGGGGGCUCAACCCUCGAAUGCCGGUGGAUACUGUCUGGCUAGAGUCCGGAAGGGGCCAGUGGAAUUCCCGGUGUAGCGGUGAAAUGCGCAGAGUAUCGGGAGGAACACCAAUGGCGAAGGCAGCUGGCUGGGACGGUACUGACGCUGAGGCGCGAAAGCGUGGGGAGCGAACAGG
rnacentral:rRNA from 1 species